UCUUCGGCCCGCGGUCACUUCGCAACAAACCCCCACCCCGCGGGAAAAAUAAUUUUCUGUCUCUCGGCUACGGAAACAAUGUGAUCAGACGGUCAAUAUGUUUGUUCGCACAGAGAAUGGAUUCGCUGACCAUCGUUUGAACAAACACAUGUUGAAUUCAGCCGAUUUACAGAUCCCAGUGUUAACAUUGACAAUCGAAUGAAUCUGGCCAGGGUACGAAAAAUUAGCACCAACAAAGAAAUGUAGAGGUUUUAUUAGAAUUAUUAAUAUCGUUUUCUAGAAGUAAACAAUUACAUUCACAUUUCAAAUGUUUUCGGUCUCGCAAGCAAACAAGUGGACAUUCCUGCAUAAUAAUUGGCACACAUUUUCUGUUGUUUAAUUUGUAUUUAGUUGUUGUGGACCGUAACACGGGAAAAAUAUGAAGAGAAGAGAUCACUUGUUAAGACCAUGGCGUAUAUGGGAGGAUAAUAUUAAAAAAAAUAUCUACAAGAAAGAGAAUGGAUAUGAUGGCGUGAACUGGAUUCAUCUGGCUUAAGGUUUGAUGGCGGGAUAUUGUGAACAUGGCAAUGGACCUUCAGUUUGCAUAAAGGCGGGAAGUUAUCGACUAGCGACAAUGAAAUCGUCCCGUUGCAAUAUACUUACUGUCAGUAUCAUCGUGAACAGCUGCGAUUUCAAUAAAGCUGGUUCAGUAAUUUUCGUUCCAACUACACAAGACACACACGCGAAGCUCUGCAGUUGUAACGAUUUCUGGCAUGCGUUCAAGAAGCCGGCUUCCAAAAGCCUCAUUUACUUUUACACCAACAUGAGAGGUUCCUUGACUAAAGUUACGAAUACUUUCUCGAACUCCAAAACCGACUGAGCGUGUGUUACUGAACCAGGAUACAGAUCACAAGUCGAGCAGCUGGCGGGAGAUAGAGAGAUCAAGGCGGCUCGGGAUCUUCGAUACUCGCGGACGAAGUUCGAAGCAAGAUUUACAGAAGGAUUUUUCUCAUGACGUAGUACGACACUGUUAAUACCUGGAUCGUACGGACCACGUCAAUGUCGUAAUAAAAAGGGUGACGGUGUCUGGAUGACUGACGAGUUAAGAUCCGAUAAAGGAUGUAAGAGAAACUCUUGGAGAGUAAUUGGGUCGCAGUUAAAUAAAACGUUUAACUUCCCACCUGCUAUACAGAAACGUCCUUUUUACGUGUGUGAAGCGUGAAUAAUGAGGAGCUCCAUAAUUGAUCUCCCCCAUGCGUUCUUCAUGCCCAAACCAUCUUAUCCCCCGUAAUUUUAUCGUUCUAAUAAUCAUCCUAUCACUUCGCCGCCUUCAGGUCGAAGCAUUAUUCGAAGCACCCUGUUAUCAGACACCCUUAAUGUACCCGUCUAUGGGACUGCAGUUUAAAUGCGUAGGAAUACACACAUGCAUAAUGCAUAUACGCAUAAAUACAUACACAAAUAUUCACCAUUGUUCCUGAGUGCAGUUCAUAUGCUAAAGCAUUGCAGUCUGACAUUGCAAGAUCCGGUAAAAAAAAAAAAAAAAACUUCCAGCAGUUUCUCAACACCCAACUCGAUCGAAACCCAAAGUCUGCUGUCAACAGUGUGGGGCGAUAUCGAACACAAGGGAUGGAUUAUGAAUACAGUCUACAGGUACGAACUCUACCGCCGCACACAGGAGUUAAUUUGCCAUGCAUAGAAACAGUUCAUUAUAACAGACAACUAUUUCAAUAGAGGGGUCUGGAAUGGAGAAUC